CAGCCAGUGGCUGGGAUUUCCAAUAUAGGCGUCUACAGUACUAUAACAGGACGUAGUUUAAAAGACUGUAUCAACAACGGCUUUUGUGAAUGGAUCAGUCCAGUCUUACAUCUGUUUUGAUUCUGCAACAGCCACCCUUCAAAGGCAUAUGAGCCAGGAGAGGAUGACAAGAACACUCCAGGAAAUCUUCAGCAAUCCCAGUUGUUCUAUACCCUAACUAUGACCUCGACAUCUGGCACAAUGCCUGCUCCCAACUGGAACUGCACGUCUUACCCACUCCUCCCAGGUAGGAUGGCUGAGGAUGCUGACCCUGAGAGGCUCAUAAAGAGAAAAUGAGAAAUCGGCCCUUCUCGGUGGUUGUUCCACAGCUAUGGAAUCAGUUACCACCUGCGAUUUGUUUAGCUCCUCUGCGGGGGAUAGGGUGGGAGAAACCUCAAGAAACAGCUUAAGACUUGGCUAUUUCGGCAAAUUUUUCAAACUCUGUCAACUAUGGAGACUACUUAAACGGCAGUUAACAGCCUAUGACACUUGAUCACCGUGAAUCUGUUAUCAUAGAAUGUAUUUUAAACUGUUUGAUUACUGUUAUGUUUUCCUUCUCAUAGCCGAGUUAUUGUUAUAUUUUAACGUUUUGUUGGUUUCUUGCUGUGAACCGCCCAGAGUAGCCCUCGGCCAGAUGGGCGGUGUAUAAAUUGAAUAAAUAAAUAAAUAAACUAUCUGAAUGGAACAAGGAAUUCUUCAACCGGCUUCCUCCUAUGUUCAUGGGCAUCUGUUGACUCAGCCUUCUAUCCUUCCGAGGUCAGUAAAAUGAAUACCCAGCUUGCG